UAUUGGACAAUGGGCGAAAGCCUGAUCCAGCAAUACCGCGUGUGUGAAGAAGGCCUUAGGGUUGUAAAGCACUUUCAAUUGGGAGGAAAACCUACCGGUCAAUACCCGGUAGCUUGACAUUACCUUUAGAAGAAGCACCGGCUAACUCCGUGCCAGCAGCCGCGGUAAUACGGAGGGUGCGAGCGUUAGUCGGAAUUACUGGGCGUAAAGCGUGCGUAGGCGGUUCGUUAAGUCAGAUGUGAAAGCCCUGGGCUCAACCUGGGAACGGCAUUUGAAACUGGCGGACUAGAGUUUAGUAGAGGGGAGUGGAAUUUCAGGUGUAGCGGUGAAAUGCGUAGAUAUUUGAAGGAACACCAGUGGCGAAGGCGACUCCCUGGACUAGAACUGACGCUGAGUACGAAA
rnacentral:rRNA from 1 species